UACGUAGGUGCCUAGCGUUGUCCGGAAUCAUUGGGCGUAAAGAGCGCGUAGGCGGCCCGGUAAGUCCGCUGUAAAAGUCAAAGGCUCAACCUUUGAAUGUCAGUGGAUACUGCCGGGCUAGAGUCCGGAAGAGGCGAGUGGAAUUCCUGGUGUAGCGGUGGAAUGCGCAGAUAUCAGGAGGAACACCAACGGCGAAGGCAGCUCGCUAGGACGGUACUGACGCUGAGGCGCGAAAGCGUGGGGAGCGAACAGG
rnacentral:rRNA from 1 species